AGGAAUUUUAUUCAUUAUGGCCUUACUAAUAAAUCACACGAUAUGUUUGCCAUUGCUGAUAAGAAGCAGAUUACUUCUGUUAGCAUGAAGCCAGAUUUGGCAGAAUCAACAAAAUCACAAGCGGGCCGAUAUAGGCCUCCACACUUACGAAAUAAAAAUCUGAAAAAUUUGCAGUUGGAGGAUGCGAAAUCUCUAACACUAUCAUCUGAGUCAACAAAAUCACAAGCGGGCCGAUAUAGACCUCCACACUUACGAAAUAAAAAUCUGAAAAAUUUGCAGUUGGAGGAUGAGAAAUCUCUAACACUAUCAUCUGAUUCAGAAAACAGUGAUAAUGAUGGAUCAGGGAGGGUUACUUGCAAUACACCCUAUGCUAAGA
rnacentral:lncRNA from 1 species